rnacentral:rRNA from 1 species
GACGAACGCUGGCGGCGUGCUUAACACAUGCAAGUCGAACGGAAAGGCCCUGCUUUUGUGGGUUGCUCGAGUGGCGAACGGGUGAGUAACACGUGAGUAACCUGCCCUUGACUUUGGGAUAACUUCUGGAAACUGGGGCUAAUACCGGAUAGGAGCUCCUGCUGCGCGGUGGGGGUUGGAAAGUUUCGGCGGUUGGGGAUGGACUCGCGGGUUAUCCGCUUGUUUGUGGGGUAGUGGCUUACCAAGGCUUUGACGGGUAGCCGGCCUGAGAGGGUGACCGGCCACAUUGGGACUGAGAGACGGAGCAGACUCCUACGGGAGGCAGCAGUGGGGAACAUUGCACAAUGGGCGGAAGCCUGAUGCAGCAACGCCGCGUGCGGGAAGACGGCCUUCGGGUUGUAAACCGCUGUCGCCGGUGACGAAGCGUGAGUGACGGUAAUGGGUAAAGAAGCACCGGCUAACUACGUG